rnacentral:rRNA from 1 species
GCUAGUAAUGGCAGGUCAGCAUACUGCCGUGAAUACGUUCCCGGGCCUUGUACACACCGCCCGUCACACCAUGAGAGUUGGGAAUACCCGAAGCCUGUGAGCUAACUGUAAAGAGGCAGCAGUCGAAGGUAGAAUCAAUGAUUGGGGUGAAGUCGUAACAAGGUAGC